AUACGUAGGGGGCGAGCGUUGUCCGGAAUGAUUGGGCGUAAAGGGCGCGUAGGCGGCCCGGUAAGUCUGGAGUGAAAGUCCUGUUUUUAAGAUGGGAAUUGCUUUGGAUACUGUCGGGCUUGAGUGCAGGAGAGGUAAGUGGAAUUCCCAGUGUAGCGGUGAAAUGCGUAGAGAUUGGGAGGAACACCAGUGGCGAAGGCGACUUACUGGACUGUAACUGACGCUGAGGCGCGAAAGCGUGGGGAGCGAACAGGAUUAGAUACCCUGGUAGUCCACGCUGUAAACGAUGAAUGCUAGGUGUAGGGGGUAUCGACCCCUCCUGUGCCGGAGUAAACGCAAUAAGCAUUCCGCCUGGGGAGUACGGCCGCAAGGUUGAAACUCAAAGGAAUUGACGGGG
rnacentral:rRNA from 1 species